rnacentral:rRNA from 1 species
CGGCGAGUGAAGCGGCAACAGCUCAAAUUUGAAAGCUGGCCUUCUGGUCCGCAUUGUAAUUUGCAGAGGAUGCUUUUGGCGCGGUGCCUUCCGAGUUCCCUGGAACGGGACGCCUUAGAGGGUGAGAGCCCCGUACGGUUGGACACCAAGCCUCUGUAAAGCUCCUUCGACGAGUCGAGUAGUUUGGGAAUGCUGCUCUAAAUGGGAGGUAAAUUUCUUCUAAAGCUAAAUACCGGCCAGAGACCGAUAGCGCACAAGUAGAGUGAUCGAAAGAUGAAAAGCACUUUGAAAAGAGGGUUAAACAGCACGUGAAAUUGUUGAAAGGGAAGCGUUUGCGACCAGACUUUUUCUAGGCGGAUCAUCCGGUGUUCUCACCGGUGCACUUCGCCUGGUUUAGGCCAGCAUCGGUUUCUGUAGGGGGAUAAAAGCCUGGGGAAAGUAGCUCUCUCGGGAGUGUUAUAGCCCCUAGCAUAAUACCCUUACGGGGACCGAGGAUCGCGCUCUGCAAGGAUGCUGGCGUAAUGGUCGUCAACGACCCGUCUUGAAACACGGACCAAGGAGUCGAACAUUUGUGCGAGUGUUUGGGUGUUAAACCCUCACGCGUAAUGAAAGUGAACGGAGGUGAGAGCCCUUACGGGUGCAUCAUCGACCGAUCCUGAUGUCUUCGGAUGGAUUUGAGUAAGAGCAUAACUGUUCGGACCCGAAAGAUGGUGAACUAUGCGUGGAUAGGGUGAAGCCAGAGGAAACUCUGGUGGAGGCUCGCAGCGGUUCUGACGUGCAAAUCGAUCGUCAAAUCUGCGCAU